rnacentral:rRNA from 1 species
UGCCUCAGUAACGGCGAGUGAAGCGGCAACAGCUCAAAUUUGAAAUCUGGCUCCUUCGGGGCCCGAGUUGUAAUUUGUAGAGGGUGCUUUGGCGUUGGCUCCGGCCUAAGUUCCUUGGAACAGGACGUCACAGAGGGUGAGAAUCCCGUACGUGGCCGGCCGCCUUCGCCGUGUAAAGCCCCUUCGACGAGUCGAGUUGUUUGGGAAUGCAGCUCUAAAUGGGAGGUAAAUUUCUUCUAAAGCUAAAUAUUGGCCAGAGACCGAUAGCGCACAAGUAGAGUGAUCGAAAGAUGAAAAGCACUUUGGAAAGAGAGUCAAAAAGCACGUGAAAUUGUUGAAAGGGAAGCGCUUGCAGCCAGACUUGCUCGUAGUUGCUCAUCCGGGCUCCUGCCCGGUGCACUCUUCUGCUAGCAGGCCAGCAUCAGUUUGGGCGGCCGGAUAAAGGCCCCGGGAAUGUGGCUCCCUCGGGAGUGUUAUAGCCCGGGGUGCCAUGCGGCCAGCCCGGACUGAGGUCCGCGCAUCUGCCAGGAUGCUGGCGUAAUGGCUGUAAGCGGCCCGUCUUGAAACACGGACCAAGGAGUCUAACAUCUAUGCGAGUGUUUGGGUGUCAAGCCCGGGCGCGUAAUGAAAGUGAACGGAGGUGGGAACCCUCUGGGUGCACCAUCGACCGAUCCUGAUGUCUUCGGAUGGAUUUGAGUAAGAGCAUAGCUGUUGGGACCCGAAAGAUGGUGAACUAUGCCUGAAUAGGGUGAAGCCAGAGGAAACUCUGGUGGAGGCUCGCAGCGGUUCUGACGUGCAAAUCGAUCGUCAAAUUUGGGCAUAGGGGCGAAAGACUAAU